GCUUCGCGGAAGGGAAGCAACCGCACGACGCACGCGCUCUUCAGCCAUGGCGUGCGCCGCCCUGCAGCCGCUGCUCCACCGCAAACCUCGCCGCCGGCGACCUCCGCUACGCCUCCUCCUCCUCCUCCUACCACCCCCUACCUAUUAAAUCCGGCCACUUCGCACCCGGCGACCCUUUUCCUCGCAUCCGCGCUUGUCUCAUACUCUCAUAUUCAAUGAAAAAGCACUACUGUGCUGUUUUUUCCGUUCAAAAAAAAAAAUACUCUCAUUCCAUACCGAGAACUGACUCCUGGUAGGCUGAAGCCAGGAAGGUCUUCGAUGGCAUGUGAUGCAGGCACACGGCCGUGGCCCGUGUGCAACGCCUUUCUUUCGGCGUGUGCAAAGGUCCGCCUCGUCGGCUAGGCGGACAAGCUGUUCGACGAAAUGCUAUAGAGGAAAGGCGGUGAGGACCGCAAAGCUGUUCGAGGAAAUGCUAGAGAGGAGAGACAGUGAGCAGUUCACUGCCUUCAUGCGCAACAGUUGGGGGCGAUGGAGCUGUGGAGUGAGGGGGAUGAGUAUGUGAGGGGAGACACACCUAUGUCUUGGUGUUUUCAGGGGAUUGGACGUCGGCGAAAACUGUGUUCUUCUGAAUGACAUUUCUCUCUUGCAUGGUCAGCGGAUGGAGACCCUCUUCUUGACCGUUUAUGACAGUGGAGUGGCGAA
rnacentral:lncRNA from 1 species